AGAGUUUGAUCCUGGCUCAGGAUGAACGCUGGCGGCGUGCUUAACACAUGCAAGUCGAGCGAAGCGGUUUGAAGGAAGUUUUCGGAUGGAAUUCAAAAUGACUGAGCGGCGGACGGGUGAGUAACGCGUGGGUAACCUGCCUCAUACAGGGGGAUAACAGUUAGAAAUGACUGCUAAUACCGCAUAAGCGCACAGUGCCGCAUGGUACGGUGUGAAAAACUCCGGUGGUAUGAGAUGGACCCGCGUCUGAUUAGGUAGUUGGUGAGGUAAUGGCUCACCAAGCCAGCGAUCAGUAGCCGACCUGAGAGGGUGACCGGCCACAUUGGGACUGAGACACGGCCCAAACUCCUACGGGAGGCAGCAGUGGGGAAUAUUGGACAAUGGGGGAAACCCUGAUCCAGCGACGCCGCGUGACUGAAGAAGUAUUUCGGUAUGUAAAGGUCUAUCAGCAGGGAAGAAAAUGACGGUACCUGACUAAGAAGCCCCGGCUAACUACGUGCCAGCAGCCGCGGUAAU
rnacentral:rRNA from 1 species